CGAAGCUGUGGAUACCUUUAUAGGUAUGGUAGGAGAGCGUUCUAUGUGUGGAGAAGGUAUACCGUGAGGAGUGCUGGAGCGUUAAGAAGUGAGAAUGCCGGUAUGAGUAGCGAAAGAUAGGUGAGAAUCCUAUCCGCCGAAAGACUAAGGUUUCCUGGGGCAGGCUCGUCCGCCCAGGGUAAGUCGGGACCUAAGGCAAGGCCGAGAGGCGUAGUCGAUGGAUAACAGGUAGAGAUUCCUGUACUGUGUCAAAUCGUUAAGAGCGAAGGAGGGACGCAGGAGGUGAAGCACGCAUCGCGAUGGAA
rnacentral:rRNA from 1 species